rnacentral:rRNA from 1 species
GCCCCGAAUUAUAGUGGCGGUCUCGCUGUAGCCUCCUCUGCGUAGUAGCACACCUCGCACUGGAACGCGGCGCGGCCACGCCGUAAAACCCCAACUUCUGAAGGUUGACCUCGGAUCAGGUAGGAAUACCCGCUGAACUUAAGCAUAUCAAUAAGCGGAGGAAAAGAAACCAACAGGGAUUGCCCUAGUAACGGCGAGUGAAGCGGCAACAGCUCAAAUUUGAAAUCUGGCCCUCGUGGUCCGAGUUGUAAUUUGUAGAGGAUGCUUUUGGUGCGGUGCCUUCCGAGUUCCCUGGAACGGGACGCCAUAGAGGGUGAGAGCCCCGUCUGGUUGGACACCAAUCCUCUGUAAAGCUCCUUCGACGAGUCGAGUAGUUUGGGAAUGCUGCUCUAAAUGGGAGGUAAAUGUCUUCUAAAGCUAAAUACCGGCCAGAGACCGAUAGCGCACAAGUAGAGUGAUCGAAAGAUGAAAAGCACUUUGAAAAGAGGGUUAAAUAGUACGUGAAAUUGUUGAAAGGGAAGCGUUUGUGACCAGACUUGGGCUUGGUUAAUCAUCCAGCGUUCUCGCUGGUGCACUUUGCCAGCCCAGGCCAGCAUCAGUUCGCUGCGGGGGAUAAAAGCUUCGGGAACGUGGCUCUUCGGAGUGUUAUAGCCCGCUGCAUAAUACCCUGUGGCGGACUGAGGUUCGCGCAUCUGCAAGGAUGCUGGCGUAAUGGUCAUCAACGACCCGUCUUGAAACACGGACCAAGGAGUCGUCUUCGUAUGCGAGUGUUCGGGUGUCAAACCCCUACGCGUAAUGAAAGUGAACGGAGGUGGGAGCCUCGGCGCACCAUCGACCGAUCCUGAAGUUUACGGAUGGAUUUGAGUAAGAGCAUACGGGGCCGGACCCGAAAGAAGGUGAACUAUGCCUGUAUAGGGUGAAGCCAGAGGAAACUCUGGUGGAGGCUCGCAGCGGUUCUGACGUGCAAAUCGAUCGUCAAAUAUGGGCAUGGGGGCGAAAGACUAAUCGAACCUUCUAGUAGCUGG